rnacentral:rRNA from 1 species
AUAUCAAUAAGCGGAGGAAAAGAAACUAACAAGGAUUCCCCUAGUAACUGCGAGUGAAGCGGGAAAAGCUCAAAUUUAAAAUCUGGUGGUCCUUUGGCCAUCCGAGUUGUAAUUUAGAGAAGCGUCUUCCGCGCUGGACCGUGCAUAAGUCUCCUGGAAUGGAGCGUCAUAGAGGGUGAGAAUCCCGUCUUUGGCACGGAUGCACCAGGCUUUGUGAUGCGCUCUCGAAGAGUCGAGUCGUUGGUAG